rnacentral:tRNA from 1 species
AAGUCCCCCCUCGGGCACAAAUAGUUAAUGUAUAUUAACGGAGGUAACAAUCCCGAAAGGGAUUGUUACCUCCGUUUUUCUUUACUAUU